rnacentral:rRNA from 1 species
CCUACGGGUGGCAGCAGUAGGGAAUAUUGCUCAAUGGGGGAAACCCUGAAGCAGCAACGCCGCGUGGAGGAUGAAGGUUUUCGGAUUGUAAACUCCUUUUGUUAGAGAAGAUAAUGACGGUAUCCAACGAAUAAGCACCGGCUAACUCCGUGCCAGCAACCGGGGGAAAACGGAGGGUGCCAGCGUUACUCGGAAUCACCGGGCGUAAAGAGCGCGUAGGGGGGAUAGCAAGUGCGGUGUGAAAUCCUAUGGCUUAACCAUAGAACUGCAGUUGAAACUGUUAUUCUAGAGUAUGGGAGAGGUACGUGGAAUUCUUGGUGUAGGGGUGAAAUGCGUAGAGAUCAAGAAGAAUACUCAUUGCGAAGGCGACCUGCUAGAGCAUAACUGACGCUGAUGCACGAAAGCGUGGGGAGCGAACAGGAUUAGAUACCCGAGUAGUC